UAGGGAAUAUUGGACAAUGGGGGCAACCCUGAUCCAGCCAUGCCGCGUGAGUGAAGAAGGCCCUCGGGUUGUAAAGCUCUUUUGUCCGGAAAGAAAAGCAUUCGGUGAAUACCCGGAUGUUCUGACGGUACCGGAAGAAUAAGCACCGGCUAACUUCGUGCCAGCAGCCGCGGUAAUACGAAGGGUGCAAGCGUUACUCGGAAUUACUGGGCGUAAAGCGUGCGUAGGCGGUUUUCUAAGUUCGGUGUGAAAUCUCCCGGCUUAACUGGGAGGGUGCGCCGAAGACUGGGAAGCUGGAGUGUGGGAAAGGCAGGCGGAAUUCCUGGUGUAGCGGUGAAAUGCGUAGAUAUCAGGAGGAACACCGGCGGUGUAGACGGCUUGCUAGACCAUAACUGACGCUGAGGCACGAAAGCGUGGGUAGCAAACA
rnacentral:rRNA from 1 species